rnacentral:lncRNA from 1 species
GUACACGGCCGCAAGCCCGAGCUUGACCGUCCGGGCUCCGCACUACUUCGGGGAUGUCGUUGCCUUCCUAAGCGGUGUCGAAAGUCUUUUCAGAGAUCGGGGGUGUUCGGUAGGAACCCCCCGUUUCAGUUGAGAUGAAGUCCUUCUUUUUUAAUUUUUCUCCUCUUCUCAGAGUGAGGGCCCUCCCCCCGCUUUUCGCGGGGUUGCAUAAAAGCGAGGAGGUACCGCUGAGGGGCUUUUCCCUUUCAUCCGAUCUUGUUGGGCGGCUAGGUUUCGUCACCAUCAACCCUUGCUGCAGAAGUCGCGGGUGG